CCUACGGGAGGCAGCAGUGGGGAAUCUUGCACAAUGGAGGAAACUCUGAUGCAGCGAUGCCGCGUGAGUGAAGAAGGCCUUUGGGUUGUAAAGCUCUUUUGUAGGGGAAGAUAAUGACUGUACCCUAAGAAUAAGGUCCGGCUAACUUCGUGCCAGCAGCCGCGGUAAUACGAAGGGACCUAGCGUAGUUCGGAAUUACUGGGCGUAAAGCGCGCGUAGGCCGUUGAGUUAGUUAAUUGUGAAAUCCCAAAGCUUAACUUUGGAACUGCAAUUAAAACUGCUCGACUAGAGUUUGAUAGAGGAAAGCGGAAUACAUAGUGUAGAGGUGAAAUUCGUAGAUAUUAUGUAGAACACCAGUUGCGAAGGCGGCUUUCUGGAUCAACACUGACGCUGAGGCGCGAAAGUAUGGGUAGCAAAGAGGAUUAGAUACCCUCGUAGUCCAUACCAUAAACGAUGAUUGCUAGAUGUUGGAAAUUUAUUUUCAGUAUCGNANCUACNCAUANANAUCNCNGGNGACGACGCAGUAACUACAANANAUGNGNGNGAGAGNGCGAGACGACGACGAGGAGAG
rnacentral:rRNA from 1 species